GGAUGUAAUCGACUUGUCAUCAAUUCUGAUAACUUGGAGGUCAUCGAGACUAUGAAUAAUGGUGGACGGGCGGCGGGAGUGGCGGUGGCAAUUUUUGAUGAUUAUUAUUUUAUUGCAUGUGAUUUUUCUAUGUUCAAGUUUGAACAUUAUAACAGAGAGGCAAAUAAAGUAGCUCAUGUACUUGCUAGGUUGGCUAGACUUUCUGAUACUGUUGAUUGGUUUGAGGAGCCAUGA
rnacentral:rRNA from 1 species